rnacentral:rRNA from 1 species
AUUGAACGCUGGCGGCGUGCCUCAGACAUGCAAGUCGAACGAUUAAAGCUCCCUUCGGGGAGUGCAUAAAGUGGCGCACGGGUGAGUAACACGUAAGUAAUCUACCCUCGAGUGGGGAAUAACGUCCGGAAACGGACGCUAAUACCGCAUAAUGCAGCGGCACCGCAAGGUGACAGUUGUUAAAGAUUUAUCGCUUGAGGAGUAGCUUGCGGCAGAUUAGCUAGUUGGUAAGGUAAUGGCUUACCAAGGCUACGAUCUGUAACCGGUCUAAGAGGAGAGUCGGUCACACUGACACUGAACGACGGGUCAGACUCGUACGGGAGGCAGCAGUCGGGAAUUUUGGGCAAUGGGCGAAAGACUGACCAAGCAACGCCGCGUGAAGGAUGAAGUAUUUCGGUAUGUAAACUUCGAAAGAAUAGGAAGAAUAAAUGACGGUACUAUUUAUAAGGUCCGGCUAACUACGUGCCAGCAGCCGCCGUAACAC